GAUCACCAGCUAAGGUCCCAAAGUAUAUGCUAAGUGGAAAAGGAUGUGUAGUUGCACAGACAGCUAGGAGGUUGGCUUAGAAGCAGCCAUCCUUCAAAGAGUGCGUAACAGCUCACUAGUCGAGUGACUAUGCGCCGAAAAUUUACCGGGGCUAAGCAUAACACCGAAGCUGUGGACAAGAAAUUGUGGUAGGGGAGCGUUCUAAUAGGGAAGAAGCCAUACUGUAAGGAGUGAGUGGACUUAUUAGAAGUGAGAAUGCCGGUGUGAGUAGCGAAUAAGGGUGAGAAUCCCUUACACCGAUUGACUAAGGAUUCCUGGGGAAGGCUCGUCCGCCCAGGGUAAGUCGGGACCUAAGGCGAGGCUGAAAAGCGUAGUCGAUGGACAGCAGGUAGAGAUUCCUGCACCGCUAAUGUAAGUGAAGGAGUGACAAAGAAGGCUAGGGUGAGCUAGCAAAUGGAUGUUAGUUGGAUUAUAAAUAUGAGCUAUGUAGGCAAAUCCGCAUAGAGGAUCUAAAAUAAUUCGAGAUAAUGAUCUAAGGAGAAUUAAAACACCCGACGCCAGCUUUCAAGAAAAGCUUCUAGCGAUAAUUAUAUUAGUGCCCGUACCGAGAACGAACACACGUAGUCAGGAAGAGAAUUCUAAGGUGAGCAAGAGAACCAUUGUUAAGGAACUCGGCAAAAUGACUCCGUAACUUAGGGAAAAGGAGUGCUUAUAGAAAUAUAAGCCGCAGAGAAUAGGCCCAAGCGACUGUUUAGCAAAAACAUAGCUCUCUGCCAAGUCGUAAGACGAAGUAUAGGGGGUGACGCCUGCCCGGUGCUGGAAGGUUAAGGGGAAAUGUUAGCAAAAGCGAAGCAUAGAACCGAAGCCCCAGUAAACGGCGGCCGUAACUAUAACGGUCCUAAGGUAGCGAAAUUCCUUGUCGGGUAAGUUCCGACCCGCACGAAAGGCGUAACGAUUUGGGCACUGUCUCAACAAUGGACUUGGUGAAAUCUUAGUACCUGUGAAGAUGCAGGUUACCCGCGACAAGACGGAAAGACCCCAUGGAGCUUUACUGUAGCUUGAUAUUGGGAUUUGAUGUAUUAUGUACAGGAUAGGUGGGAGCAAAAGAGAUACAUGCGCAAGUGUGUAUUGAUGCGAUGUUGGGAUACCACCCUUGAUACAUUGAAUCUCUAACUAGAGACCAUAAACUGGUCAUAGGACAGUGUCUGGUGGGCAGUUUGACUGGGGCGGUCGCCUCCUAAAGAGUAACGGAGGCGCCCAAAGGUACCCUCAGCAUGGAUGGAAAUCAUGCAAAGAGUGCAAUGGCAAAAGGGUGCUUGACUGCGAGAGCAACAACUCGAGCAGGGACGAAAGUCGGGCAUAGUGAUCCGGCGGUGCUGAAUGGAAAGGCCGUCGCUCAACGGAUAAAAGCUACCCUGGGGAUAACAGGCUGAUCUUGCCCAAGAGUUCACAUCGACGGCAAGGUUUGGCACCUCGAUGUCGGCUCAUCGCAUCCUGGGGCUGAAUUCGGUCCCAAGGGUUGGGCUGUUCGCCCAUUAAAGCGGUACGCGAGCUGGGUUCAGAACGUCGUGAGACAGUUCGGUCCCUAUCUGUCGUGGGCGUAGGAGAUUUGAGAAGAGCUGUCCUUAGUACGAGAGGACCGGGAUGGACUUACCUCUGGUGCACCAGUUGUCACGCCAGUGGCAUGGCUGGAAAGCUAAGUAGGGAAAGGAUAACCGCUGAAGGCAUCUAAGCGGGAAGCCUACUUCAAGAUGAGAUCUCCCAA
rnacentral:rRNA from 1 species